UACGUAUGGGGCAAGCGUUAUCCGGAUUUACUGGGUGUAAAGGGAGCGCAGGCGGCCUGGCAAGCCUGAUGUGAAAUACCGGGGCCCAACCCCGGGGCUGCAUUGGGAACUGCCGGGCUGGAGUGCCGGAGAGGCAGGCGGAAUUCCUAGUGUAGCGGUGAAAUGCGUAGAUAUUAGGAGGAACACCAGUGGCGAAGGCGGCCUGCUGGACGGUGACUGACGCUGAGGCUCGAAAGCGUGGGGAGCAAACAGG
rnacentral:rRNA from 1 species